UACGUAGGGAGCAAGCGUUGUCCGGAUUCACUGGGUGUAAAGGGUGCGUAGGCGGGAGAAUAAGUCAGCGGUGAAAUCUUACGGCUCAACCGUGAAACUGCCGUUGAUACUGUUUUUUCUUGAGUUCGGGAGAGGUUGAUGGAAUUCCAGGUGUAGCGGUGAAAUGCGUAGAUAUCGGGAAGGAACACCAGUGGCGAAGGCGACUUCCUGGCCUGUUCUUGACGCUGAGGCGCGAAAGCGUGGGGAGCAAACAGG
rnacentral:rRNA from 1 species